GAGUUUGAUCGUGGCUCAGGAUGAACGCUAGCUACAGGCUUAACACAUGCAAGUCGAGGGGAAACGAUAUUGGAAGCUUGCUUCCGAUAGGCGUCGACCGGCGCACGGGUGAGUAACGCGUAUCCAACCUGCCCACCACUUGGGGAUAACCUUGCGAAAGUAAGACUAAUACCCGAUGAUAUCCCUAGAAGACAUCUGAAAGGGAUUAAAGAUUUAUCGGUGAUGGAUGGGGAUGCGUCUGAUUAGCUUGUUGGC
rnacentral:rRNA from 1 species